CUGGGAACAUGACUCCAAGGAGCAGCGACUAGGACAGCGAGGGAUCUGGCCCUCAGGUUGCAGCGUGGCCUGCGCGCGGAACUUAAACACCUAAGGGAAAAGAUGGCGCGCGAUGAUGACGUCAAACGCAAUGGCUCCCGCGGGUUGUGGUCGGAGCGCUGGCGGGGGCGUGAUCGUGACGUUAAGGGCGGUGCCCAGUCAGCGAGGUCUUAAGACCCUCAUUUGAGAGAUGCCUUCCCUGUACCUGGAGGAAAGAAACAUCCUUAUCUCUGAAGACACAGGGCCACAGAGAAGAGUCUGAACAAACAGGCUUUACCAAUUUCCCCCAGUUGUUACCGUUAGAUCAGACCUUUGUCCAGUCAUACCUUUCCACAAGUUGUCCACUCAUCAACCCUAAGCAUAAAAAUGCACAAGUUUCCCUGUUUGUUUGGGUCUUCAUUUCCAA
rnacentral:lncRNA from 1 species